GUGCGAACCCGCCGUGAACACCUGCCCCGUGUGCGCGUCCACCAAGAACGCCUCGCUCCACGUCCUCCUUUCUUGACCAUCGAACUCCGAGCCCCGGCUGGGAUCAAUAGGCAACAGUGGGCAAAGAAAUUAAAACUGAGAAAGAAGAUGAUCUUAAAGUGAGAUCAAAAGGAGGAAGAUGGAUGGAUGGAUGAUAAUGAUAAAAAAGAUAUGCCGCUGGUGAGCAAUAUAGGACCUUGUUACCCAACCUCGGAUGCACGGCGGGGCAAAGCGGCGGCCCGCAGGAGGGGUGCGCAGCGGCUUGGGCGUGCAGACACGGGAUGGCGGGCGAACUCCACCGAAUCUAGGAAUGGGGACAGCGCAGGCCGCAGAUCCGGUGGCGUGAGCUCUUCGUAGANNN
rnacentral:lncRNA from 1 species